rnacentral:lncRNA from 1 species
AAAAAUCAAUCUGAUUUAUUUCGUACCCCUCGCUCAAUGAGAAAAUGGGUCAGAUUCUAUAGGAUCAAACCUAUGGGACUUAGGGAAUGAUGGAAGGGAAUAAAAUAAAAAAAAAGAAAUCAAAAAAAGAGGGGAAAAAAAUAAUAAAAAUAAUAAAUAAGUAAAUAAAAAUGAAGUAGAAGAACCCAGAUUCCAAAUGAACAAAUUCAAACUUGAAAAGGAUCUUUCUGAUUCUCGAAGAAUGAGGGGCAAAGGGAUUGAUCGAGAAAGAUCUCUUGUUCUUAUUAUAAGAUCGUGUGAUUGGAUCCGCAGAUGUUUGGUAAAAAAAAUCUUCUCUUUUGAGAAUAAUCAAAAAUGGAAAGUGUUCAAUUGGAACAUGAAAACGUGACUGAAUUUGUCCUAGUUACUCUUCGGGCUCUGAUGGUCAAAAGUGUUUAUCAUUUUAAGUAUGAUCUAGAUUUGAGUCGCGCUAGUCACAUUGUUCGAGUUUACAUUUAAAAAAAAAUUAUGAAAUCAGAAAACUUAAAAUUCUUCAAAUUUGAAUUUUGGAUGUCACUCCCUUCGUCAAUCGCAGAUGCGCGUCAUAAACACAUUCUCAAAGGAGCGUGACCUUGUGAAAGCACUAAUUUGCUAAAAAUAUUAGCUAGCUAUCCGCGUCUAGAACACGAAUAUAAUACGUUGCUUCAUCCCACUGGUUGCAAGUAAGCCCUUUUUCGUAAUUUGGCUUGUGAAUUAGGCCUAUAAAUUAAGGGCAAUCGGGAACAGCAAUUCCCAUCUUAUAAUCAAAACCAAUCUAAUUUCAAAGCUUCAAGGUAAUUAUUCAUCUCUUUUCUCUUAUUGUUUUUAGUUUUUGUUUGCAUUUUUGUAGUUUUAAUUUUGAUUUUUUUAGUUUGUUCCAUGAGUGAGAUGAAUCUGUGAUUAGAGAUUUUUCCCCUUUUCAAGUUUUAUGGGUUUUUUCUAUUUAAAUCAACACCAUAUCGUGUAUAUCUUUUCGGUUUCAUUAUUCAUAGUCUCUAAAUUAGUAAUGAUUUUUUUUAUUUGUUGAAUUGUUUGCUGAAUCUUACGAACUAAGGUUAGGGAUUUUCCUCUUUUCAGUUUUAGGGUUUUCUUUUCAACCGUAGAUUUUUUUUAAUUUAAAUUAGAUUCUUUGAUCUGAUUGGAUUUUUUAGGCAUAAAAUUUAGAGUCUUGUCACUAUUAUUUUCAGAAGUGCGAAAUUGUUUUGAAUGUAUCAAAACAAUCAGAAUAGUUUUAGAUUACCUAGGAAUCUCGAUCUUCCCAGAUAUCAUUCAAUAGGAUUUUUUUUUUUGUGAAAUAGAUGAUAUGUGGGCCUGGUUGUAGAAAUAUUUUAUAUUUUAUUUGUUUUAGUUAGUAGUAGUCUUAUUUGAGUUUUGUUUUUAAUUCAAAUAGAUGCAAAUUUUCGUCAAGACCCUCACCGGCAAGACCAUCACCCUUGAGGUGGAAAGCUCCGACACCAUCGAUAAUGUCAAGGCCAAGAUCCAAGAUAAAGAAGGAAUCCCACCAGAUCAACAGAGGCUUAUCUUUGCUGGUAAGCAGCUAGAGGAUGGUCGUACACUUGCUGACUACAACAUUCAGAAGGAGUCCACCCUCCACUUGGUCCUUCGUUUGAGGGGUGGUAUGCAAAUCUUUGUUAAGACCCUCACCGGCAAGACUAUCACCCUCGAGGUGGAAAGCUCGGACACCAUUGAUAAUGUCAAGGCCAAGAUCCAAGACAAAGAAGGGAUCCCUCCAGACCAGCAGAGACUUAUCUUUGCCGGUAAGCAACUAGAAGAUGGCCGUACCCUGGCUGAUUACAACAUCCAAAAGGAGUCCACCCUCCAUUUGGUGCUCCGCCUUCGUGGAGGAAUGCAAAUCUUUGUUAAGACCUUGACCGGAAAGACAAUUACUUUGGAGGUUGAGAGUUCAGAUACCAUUGACAAUGUCAAGGCUAAGAUCCAGGACAAGGAGGGUAUUCCGCCAGACCAGCAGAGGUUGAUCUUUGCUGGUAAGCAAUUAGAAGAUGGUCGCACCCUGGCUGACUACAACAUCCAAAAGGAAUCCACCCUCCAUUUGGUGCUUCGUCUUCGUGGUGGUAUGCAAAUAUUUGUGAAGACUCUUACCGGAAAGACCAUUACUUUGGAGGUUGAGAGUUCAGAUACCAUUGACAAAGUCAAGGCUAAGAUCCAGGACAAGGAGGGUAUUCCCCCAGACCAACAGAGGUUGAUCUUUGCCGGUAAGCAACUUGAAGAUGGCCGCACUCUCGCUGAUUACAACAUCCAAAAGGAAUCCACCCUCCACUUGGUGCUUCGUCUUCGUGGUGGUAUGCAGAUUUUUGUGAAGACUCUUACCGGGAAAACCAUCACCUUGGAAGUUGAGAGCUCCGACACUAUUGACAAUGUCAAGGCCAAAAUCCAGGACAAGGAAGGUAUCCCUCCAGACCAACAGAGGUUGAUUUUCGCGGGUAAGCAGCUUGAGGAUGGCAGGACACUUGCAGACUACAACAUUCAAAAGGAGUCGACCCUCCAUUUGGUUCUUCGUCUUCGUGGUGGGAUGCAAAUUUUUGUGAAGACAUUGACAGGAAAGACCAUCACUUUGGAAGUUGAAAGCUCGGACACUAUUGAUAAUGUCAAGGCCAAGAUCCAAGAUAAGGAAGGAAUCCCCCCAGACCAGCAGAGGUUGAUCUUCGCAGGGAAGCAACUUGAAGAUGGAAGGACCUUGGCAGACUACAACAUCCAGAAGGAAUCGACUCUGCACCUUGUCCUCCGCCUUCGCGGUGGUUUCCGAAUGGUCUUUUGAAGAAGUGUCUUUUAUGAUGGGGUUCAACAUUAUGUUUCUAGUUUUAUGUUUGUCUAAUUAAGCCUGCUGUGAUGCAGUGGCUAAAUGCUACAAGUUAUAAUUUGUAUAAACCCUUUUUUAGUUCUCUGCUUAUGUUUAAGGUUUCAUGGCUGCCAGCACUUUGGUCAUUGAAAUAAUUUAUCAUAUAAAGUUUCUAAGCUAUCAUAUGCCCUCUCCCUUUCUAUUUUUAAAUUUUGGUUCCGUUCUGGUGCUUGUUUGAUUUGUUUCUUUUGAGCAUGAUAUCUUUUGAUAACCAUGAUUAUGAGUUUUGAUAUGGUUUAAUAAAUUUGAUGGGGUCAAGGGUUCAAAUAUAAAUUUGAUGUAGGUUAUUCUUUUUUAAACAUUAAUCUCUUAAAUGUAUAGAAUAUGAUUUUACAAUUGUUGCACAAAUGCUAAUGUAAAUAAAAAGUCGCAAUUCGUGAUAUCUAAAUUUCUAAAAUAUUUGCUUUUCAUUCUACAAAAAGCAAGCAGCAUUAUCGAAACAGACUGUGGUGACCUAAUCGUUCUCUCAGUGACCGGAAUAUCUCGAGCAAUCGAACUGGAUUUUCUUCAAUUUUGUUCAGAAUUGUUCAAUCUUGUAUUUGAUUUUUAUGUAUUUCAGGCAGAUACAUAUAUUAAUUAAUUUCAUUUUCAUAUUUUCUCAUGUCAGGAUUUUGCCCGUUGAAUCAUUGAAAACAUCGAUGGAUACACAGGUAGUACUCUCGAAGUAUACAAAUAAAAAACCUGUCAAUUCAUAUUCAGGAGUGCUCCUUAAAGCACAUAAUCGGGAAAUCCUCUCUCAAGCCAUAUAACAGGAAGCUCACAAAGAGCCUAUCUGGAAGCUUAUCCGAAUUAUAUAACAGGAAGCUCAUAAGAGCCAUAAUCAGGAAGUUCACAAAGAACUUUUAAUCAGGAAGCUUACGAAGAGCCUUUAAUCAAGAGCUCCGGAUAGCCAUAUAUCGGGAAGUACAAGCGAGUCAUAUCAGGACACUCAUAAAGAGCUGAGGUAUGUCCGCAUUAUAUGCAGGAUCCUUAUCGAUUAUAUAACAAAACGCUCACAAAGAGCUGCAAUAUAUCCGCAACACAUGCAGGAUUAAUACUGAUCAGGAUGCUCGCAGGAACCAUAUAAUAGGAAGCUCGAGAGGGCUUAUAACAGAUGCUCGUAAGAGCUAUGGUGUGUCCACAACAUAUGCAGGACCACAACCAAUACGGGAAAUCCUGUAUCCAUCGAAUUUCAUUUAUUCAAACGGGACUUAACGUUUAUCGGGUAUUAUCAGAUAUGUGACUGAUUUUCAUACAUAAGAUAUUUAUACAAUUCACACAUAUACAACAUUCAAUUCAAACAUAUUAAUAUACAUAAUUUAGUUACACAAACUUACCUCGAUCAUUAUUCGUGUUCGUAGGCUACUAAUCCAAUACUUUUUGUUUUCCUCGAUCCAACUUCUUAUUUGAUCUUUCCGGAUCUAUAUAAAUGAAUUUAACAUCAAUUAAACACAUUUCAUAUCCAAUUCAAUCCAAUUCACAUCUUAGGCAAAAGUACCAUUUUCCCCUAUACUUUUGAUUAAUUCCAAUUUCAUCCCUAGGCUCGGAAAAUAAAAUUCAUGCAAUUUAAUCAUUAUUCCAAGUCUAGCUGAUUUUUACAUGUAAAAUUUACAGCCCAUGUAUUUCAUAAAAUUCAUAAUUUUUCCAUGAAUUUUCCAUUUUUUCAAUUUAAUUCCUAAAUCAUGAUUUCAUUAAAAUUCCCUUUACAAAAGUUGUUUAUCUAUUAACAACCUUUCAUUUUUUACCAUAAAACUUUAUAAUUCAUCUAUGUUCAUCCAUGGCAAAACCCUAGUACCUUGAUAAUUUUGCAAAUUAAUCCCCGAGAUAGCUAGAUUAAGCUAUUAUGAUCUCGGAAAUAUAAAAAUCAUUAAAAACGGGCAAGAAUACUUACCUAAUCAAGCAAAAUAAGUUGGCUUGAGCUUAGGUUUCCAUGGCUAGGGUUUCCAUGCUUUUAAUUUGGGAAAGAUGAUAUAAAUGAUGAUAUUUUUAUUUAUUUUUUAUCAUUUAUUAUCUUUUAUUAUUUCACUUUCCAAUUUCAUCCUUUUCUUUAUUCUAUUUUUCAUAGAUGAAUCAUCAUCCUUAACAACCAAGCAUUUUUAAUGGUCUAUUUUUCAUAUAAGGACCUCAAAUUUUUAAUUUCAUAGCUAUUUAAUCCUUUUAGCUAUUAGAACUCAACUUUUGCACUUUGUGCAAUUUGGUCCUUUAUCAAAUUAAACAUGUAAUCGGUAAAAUUCAUUUACGAAAUUUUUAUACCACAUUACUAUCAUACUAUAGACCAUAAAAUAAUAUUAAAAAUAAAUUUUCUUUCGAAAUCGAAUUUGUGGUCCCGAAACUACUGUUUCGAUUUUACUGAAAACGGGCUGUUACAAGUUGAUUUCGAUGUGGCUCACCGUCCUUGAACGAGUGACUUAAAUCGCUUCAAUUACUAAGUGGCUCCAUUUUAUCUUUCGAUCUCAAUUUUACCGACUUAGACGAAUUAAUCUAAUUUAACUCUCGAUCUCACCGGUUAAUCCGAGACUAAUGAAUUUGUGCGUAACAAGAUUACCUCUCGGUCUCACUUGCCUAGAUAUUCCUUUGGGGGGGUCACUUCCUAAGAUUUUAGCUCUAUUCGAUUUAGUCCAAUUUAUUAUGAGUUAGUCUUUUGUCCAAAAAUUAGCUUACCCACAUAUCUAUCAACCAACCCCCUUUUAGGUUUAGCUACUCAUGCUGAAUGUAACAACCCAGUUUGACUCUAAUCGGAAUAGUGGUUUCGGGACUACAAAUCUGAAUUAGAAAAAUAUUUUUAUAUUAUUUUUUGUGUUUAUUAUGUGUGAAUUUACUAGUGUGAAACUUUCGUGCUUUAAUUUCGCCGUUUGAGUGUCCGAUUAAAUAAAAGGAUUAAAUCGCAUAAAAUGAAAAUUUAGGGGUUAAAUCUAAAAGCACCCAAUUGUUGUUGUCUUUCAAAAAUAGGGGUUUUAAAUGACAAUUAAGCCAUUUAGAUGAUAGUGGGUGGCAAUGGUCAACAUUGCCCUUAUAUUAUAUGUUUUAUAAUUUAUUUAUUUAAGGUUAAAUUUGUAAACUAAAAUUUAUGCUAAUAUAUUUUAAAUUAAAACAUAAAAAAAGGUCAUUUUUCAUCUUUCUUGGCCGAAUAUAGAAAAUAAAGAAUUCAUCCAUGCUUGUUAAAGUUUCGGCACAAAACUAGCUUGAUUAAAGGUAUGUUUUACUUCGGUUUUUGAUAAUUUUUACGUUUUUGAGAUCGUUGCUUUGUGUUCUUCAAAACCCAUAUCUUAAUUUUGUGAAUUGUGGAUGAUUUUGAAAUGUGCCAUUGAUGAAUGCUUGAGUUUUAUGAUGUUAGUCGGUGAAAUAUGAAAUAUAUUUGUUAGAUUAAUAUGUUUUGUAUUGGAAUUUUUAGUGAAAUUGAGUAAAUAGGGCUAAAUUGUAAAAUUAAAUUUUUGAGGGACUAAAGUGUGAAAUAAAUGCAACGUGUGGACUUGUAUGAGAACCAUGAAUAUUCGGCCCUUGUGUGGUAUGGGCAAAUUUUGUGUAAAUUGUGUUUUAUGCAAUAAGGAGUAAAUUGCAAAAAGUGUGAAUAUUAGGGGCAAAAUAGUAAUUUUCCAAAUUAUGUGUUUUUGGAUUAAAUUGAAUGUGUUAAUAAAUAAAUUAUCUUAUUUUGAAUAUAUUUAGAUCAAGAACCAAAGAAAUCAGAGUUAGAUCGGGGAAAAGCCAAAUUAGUCGAAUAAUCGUCCGACUUCGAUUUUCCAUCGUCCGAGGUAAGUCUAUUAGCAAUUAAAAGUUAUUAAAUUAAUAUUUAUACAUGUAUACUAAUUUUAUUAUGUGUUGAGCUAUAAUUAAAAGUAUAUUGAUUGAAUAAAUUUUGAAGUAUGGAUGAUAUUUAUAUAUAUAUAGCAUGUUCGAAUAUACAAGUAAAAUCUUGUAUAGAUUUAUGGUUGAAAUAAAGGUAAGAAAUGUAUAAAAGUAUAGUUGAUAUUCGAAUAAGCAUGUAUAUAUAUAUGUAAAUCGCUUGUAUUGAAUUUAGGUAAGAAAGAUAUAUAUGCAUAUGUUAGAUUCGAAUAUAUAUAUAUGUAAAUACAUGAACAAGUCUUGAAAUUAGAUAAAGGUAUGAGUAUGUAUAUAUAUAUAUAUAUUGCUAGAAUAUAUAUAUAUACAUAUAUAUAAAAGUUAUUGAAAUUAGUUAAAGUAUGAAUGUUGCAUAGAUAUUCAUUCUUGAUUUUAAUCAAAGGUAUGUAUAAUAUAUAUAUAGUGCGAAUAUAUAUAUAGGUAUAUACAUGUAUAAACUCUUGGAUUUAUUUAAAGUUAUGUAACCCAUGAUUGUAUGAGAAGUUUCGAAUAGAUAUGUAUAUGUGAAUUGUAAUUUAUAUGUAUAUGCUAUAUUUGAAAAAGUAUGCUUACAUAUAUGUAUAUGUUCUUGUAAUGAAUUUUAAGUAUGAGUGUUAUAUAUAUAUAUGCAUAUGUGUGAGGUUCGAAUAUAUAAUUAUGCAUAUAUAUAUUUGCGUACAGGUAUAAUUUCUUGUAUUGAAAUUAGGUAUGGAAUUAUAUAUUGAUAUAUAUAUGGUCGAAUGUAUAUGUAUAUAUGUUUAAGGUUUGCAUUGGAUUAAAAGUAUAAAUUGUAAAUGCUUGUAUGAUUCGAACAAGGAUUAUAAAUUUUCUUGGGAUAGAGUUGAGGAUGUGAAUUAUACAUAAAUGUUAUGAACGUGUGUUGCUAUUAAGAAAUAUACGAGAAAUCAUCCUUGUAUCUGUGAAAUUGAAAUUUUUAAGCUAAGCGCCUAGCAGGCUAAAUGCCGGUGAAUUUUUCAGACUAUAAAUCUAGCAGGCUAAGUGCCGGUGAUCGGAAUCAGGUUAUAAACCUAGCAGGCUACGUGCCGGUGAUAUGAAUUAGGCUAUAAGCCUAGCAGGCUAAGUGCCGGUGAAUAUGUUAAAUUAUGUGAUUAUAUGCAUUAGAUAGAUAUAUAAAUAUAACUGAUUUUGGGUUAUAUAUAUAAUGAAUAAGUAUAUGAAUAUUUAUUUAUAUGUAAUCGAUGAGCUUAUAAAUGUUUCAAUCUAUAAGUUUAGUGAAUAGGCAUAUAUACAUUGGUUGAUAUGAAAAUUGUUGAAUAUACUUGUACGAAAUCGGCACAUGUGGAUUAGAAGUAUAAAUGUGCAUAUGAUUCAUGUAGUUUAUAAGUGGAAAUAUAAGUUUUUGACAUAUGUUUUUGAAAGAUCAUAAACAAGCAUUGAGUGAAAUGCAAAUGAUAAGUAUAUUUGGAAUAUAUAUAUGCAAUUAAUGAUUAUGUAUGUAACUUGAUUUUUUUGGUAUAUAAUGAUUAUACAUAUGAUCGUUUAUAUGUAUUUUAGUUAUGCUAUAAACUUACUAAGCUAUAAAAGCUUACUUUGAUUGUUUUUGUUCAUUUGUUUUAUAGAUUUUGGAGACGCGUUAUGAGCUCGGGGAUCAUCAGCAUAGUCUAUCACACUAUCGACUUCUUUUGGUAUUUUGUUAACAGUUUGAACUUGAUCUUAUGGCAUGUAUAGGUUUGAGUAUGAUUUUGGUUAGAUUUGGAUUGUAUAUAUAUAGCAACGCGAAAAUGGUUUAAUUUCCAUGUUUGUGAUCAGUUUGGUUUUAAAAAUGGUUGUGUUUAUUCGGUAAUGCCUCGUAACCCUAAUUCGGCGACGGAUACGGGUUAAGGGUGUUACAUUUUAUUGGUAUCAGAGCUACGGUUUAGUCGAUUCUCGGACUAACGUAGUGUGUAUGAGUCUAGCUAUACAUGCCAUAAUUUUUUACUGAGAUAGUGUGAUGACUGCUGACGUAUAAAAAUGUGUUUUCGUAUAGUAAUGGAUCCCGAACGAGCCGUAGCCGAUGAUGCUGAGAGUAUAGCACCUGCUCCCGCGCAAGAGACAGAGCCAGUAGAUUCUCGACCGACCUUGAGUAACCAUGAGGGAGAGGCUAAACAAGCCUUUUACAAAAUGAUGAAUGACUGGUUAACUCAAUAUGUCCGAACAAAUUCGGUUGUACAAUGACCUCCACCCCCGACUAAUCCAUCUUCGGUUCCUGUUAUACCUCAAGUAAGUGAUCUGAUGAGAUUACUUAAACCUCCUGUUGAUAAAAUUUAAAAACACGGGGCCGAAGAGUUCAGAGCUACUGAUGAUGGUGAUGCUGAGUGAGCUGAAUUCUGGCUAGAUAAUACUAUUCGAGUAUUUGAUGAGUUAUCUUGCACCCCUGACGAGUGCUUGAAGUGUGCCAUAUCCUUGCUACGGGAUAUUGUAUAUCACUGGUGGAAUACACUAGUAUCGGUGGUUCCGAAAGAGCGAGUGACCUGGGAAUUCUUUCAGACUGAAUUCCGUAAGAAAUAUAUUAGCCAGAGAUUCAUUGAUCAGAAACGUAAGGAUUUUCUUGAAUUGAAACAAGGUCGGAUGACAGUGACAGAAUAUGAGCGGAAAUUUGUGAGACUUAGUAGAUAUGCUCGAGAGUGUGUUUCGACUGAAGCUAUUAUGUGUAAAAGAUUUGAAGAUGGGCUGAAUGAAGAUAUUAAACUGUUAGUUGGCAUACUUGAGAUAAAGGAGUUCGUAGUACUUGUUGAACGAGCUUGUAAAGCCGAGGAGCUCGGGAAAGAGAAGAGAAAAGCUGACUAUGAAGCUCGAGAUUCCUGUAAAAGAUCAUUUAGUAAAUCGUUCCAGUCGGCCUCAAGGAAAUCCAGAGAGGAUCAUAGCCAAUCUAAAGCUACUACAGGGUUUCCUAAGUAUGAUCGAGAUCGACCCCCUGUGAGUUCGCGUGCUACUUCAGUUGCUAGUGUUGGUAGUGUUCGACAAAAUAGAUCAGAAUGCAAGCAUUGUGGGAAAUGGCAUCCUGGAGAUUGCAGAUUACAUGAUCGAUCUUGCUUUAAGUGUGGUUCAAAGGAUCAUUUCAUUCGAGAGUGUCCGAUGGUAGCUGAUCAAAAUACUGUACAGAAUACCAGACCGAGUAAUAUGUCAGUAUGGGGUAGACCGCCAAGGCAUUUGGGUAAUGUAAGUGGUAGUCAGAGAGGGACAAAGGACACAGCAGUUCGAUCUGAGGCUCGUGCACCUGCCAGAGCAUAUGCUAUCCAAGCUUGAGAGGAGGCUUCUUCUCCAGAUGUUAUUACUGGUACUUUCACUCUUUAUGAUACUAAUGUCAUUGCGUUGAUUGAUCCUGGUUCGACUCAUUCUUAUGUGUGUGAGACCUUAGUAUUCAGUAAGACUCUACCUGUUGAGUCUACUGAGUUUGUAAUUAAAGUAUCAAACCCCCUGGGCCGGUGUGUGUUGAUUGACAAAGUGUGUAAGAAUUGUCCGUUGAUGAUUCGAGAUUUGUGUUUUAUGGCUGAUUUGAUGUUGUUGCCAUUUGACGAGUUUGACAUAAUUUUGGGUAUGGACUGGUUGACUUUACACGAUGCUGUGGUUAACUGCAAAAGGAAGACUAUUGAUUUAAGAUGCCUGAAUGACGAGAUUAUUCGGAUUGAAUCUAAUGAUCUGAAUGGUUUAUCGGCAGUGAUAUCCUCUAUGUUGGCUCAGAAGUAUGUGAGAAAAGGUUGUGAAGCUUAUCUUGCAUAUGUUCUUGAUAGUAAAGUGAUAGAAAAGAAGAUUGAAUCAGUACCUAUUGUAUGUGAGUAUCCAAAUGUGUUCCCUAAAGAAUUACCGGGUUUACCACCUAUUCGAGAAGUAGAGUUUGGUAUUGAGUUAGUACCGGGGACGACUCCAAUUUCGAUAGCUCCAUACCGUAUGGCACCGACCGAAUUAAAAGAAUUGAAAGCACAGUUGCAGGAGUUGACUGAUAAAGGUUUUGCACGACCGAGUUUCUCUCCUUGGGGGGCACCCGUUCUAUUUGUGAGAAAGAAAGAUGGAACGAUGAGAAUGUGCAUUGAUUAUCGACAACUCAAUAAGGUGACUAUAAAGAAUAAGUAUCCUUUACCACGGAUUGAUGAUUUGUUCGAUCAGUUGAAAGGGGCUACUGUGUUCUCGAAGAUAGAUUUGAGAUCAGGCUACUAUCAAUUAUGAGUUAAAGACUCUGAUGUGCCAAAGAUUGCUUUUCGAACGAGGUACGGACAUUAUGAGUUUCUUGUUAUGCCUUUUGGACUUACUAAUGCACCUGCUAUUUUCAUGGAUUUGAUGAAUCGGAUCUUUAGACAGUAUCUGGAUCGGUUUGUAGUAGUAUUUAUAGAUGACAUUUUGAUCUACUCUCGUGACGAAACUGAGCAUGCCGAACAUCUGGGACUUGUGUUACAAACUUUGCGAGAUAAAUAGUUGUAUGCAAAGUUUAGUAAAUGUGAGUUCUGGUUACGGAAAGUCGGUUUUCUAGGCCAUGUUGUAUCAGCAUCGGGUAUACGGGUUGAUCCGAGUAAAAUUUCAGCUAUACUUGAUUGGAAACCUCCGAAAAAUGUCUCAGAAGUUUGAAGCUUUCUAGGGCUCGCUGGUUAUUAUAGACUGUUCGUGAAAGGGUUCUCAAUGAUUGCGACCCCGAUGACAAAGUUAUUACGAAAAGACGUUAAGUUUGAGUGGUGAGAAAAGUGUCAAGAGAGCUUUAAUCAGUUGAAAGUUCUUUUGACCGAAGCUCCAGUCUUAGUUCAGCCAGAAUCGGGUAAAGAGUUUGUUAUCUAUAGUGAUGCAUCUUUAAAUGGUUUGGGCUGUGUUUUGAUGCAGGAAGGCAAAGUUGUAGCCUAUGCCUCGAGGCAGUUAAAGCCGCAUGAAAAGAACUAUCCAACGCACGAUCUGGAAUUAGCCGCUACUGUAUUUGCGUUGAAAAUAUGGCGCCACUAUCUGUUUGGUGAAAAAUGUCAUGUUUAUUCCGAUCACAAAAGCCUGAAGUAUUUGAUGACUCAGAAGGAUCUGAAUUUGAGACAGCGCCGAUGGUUAGAAUUGCUAAAAGGUUACGAGCUUGUUGACUAUCAUCCGGGAAAGGCUAAUGUUGUUGCUGAUGCCCUAAGUCGAAAAUCAAUGUUUGCUUUGCGUGCAAUGAACGCGCAUAUGACUAUGUCUGAUGAUGGUGCGAUAGUAGCUGAGUUGAAAGCAAAACCGUUAUUUGUUCAACAGAUUUGUGAAGCUCAGAAAGUCGAUAAUAAUUUAAUUGCAAAACGAGCUCAGUGUGACUUAAAUGUUGAUUCAGAGUUUCUAGUUGAUGCUGAGGAUUGUUUGAGAUUCAGAAACCGAUUAUGUGUUUCGAAAAAUUCAGAGUUAAUUCAAAUAAUUUUGAACGAAGCUCAUAAUGGUCGAUUUUCUGUUCAUCCGGGUAGCACGAAAAUGUAUAAUGAUCUGAAACAGCAUUAUUGGUGGCAUGGUAUGAAACGAGACAUUUCUAACUUUGUUUCGAAAUGUUUAAUAUGUCAACAAGUAAAACCCGAGCAUCAAGUACCAUCUGGAUUGCUUCAGCCGAUCAUGAUACCUGAAUGGAAAUAGGAUCGAGUUACGAUGGAUUUUGUAUCCGGUUUACCGUUGACACCGAGCAAGAAAGAUACAAUUUGGGUUAUUGUUGAUAGGUUGACAAAAUCGGCACACUUUAUUCCGAUUCGCACGGAUUUCCCACUCGAUAAACUUGCUGAAUUGUAUGUUUCUCAAAUUGUGAGAUUGCAUGGUGUGCCUAUUUCUAUUGUUUCAGACAGAGAUCCGAGAUUCACAUUGCGAUUUUGGAAGAAACUACAAGAUGCUUUAGGUACGAAACUACAUUUUAGCACAGCUUUCCAUCCGCAGACAGAUGGUCAAUCCGAACGAAUCAUUCAGAUACUUGAGGAUAUGUUGAAAUGUUGCAUUCUCGAGUUUGAAGGUACGUGGGAACGAUACUUACCUUUGAUUGAAUUUGCUUAUAAUAAUAGCUUUCAAUCUAGUAUCAAAAUGGCACCUUACGAGGCUUUAUACGGUCGUAAAUGUCGUACACCAUUGUAUUGGACCGAGCUCAGUGAAAAUAAGAUACACGGGGUUGAUUUGAUUAAAGAGACUGAACAGAAAGUAAAAGUGAUUCGAGAUAGUCUGAAAUCAGCAUCGGAUCGUCAGAAAUCUUAUGCGGAUUUGAAAAGAAAGGAUAUAGAAUUUCAGAUCGGAGAUAAAGUGUUUUUGAAAGUCUCACCGUGGAAAAAAAUAUUCAGAUUCGGUCGUAAAGGUAAAUUGAGUCUGAGAUUCAUUGGACCGUAUGAGAUUAUAGAGCGUGUUGGACCGGUUGCUUAUAGAUUGACGUUACCGCCUGAGUUAGAAAAGAUUCAUAAUGUAUUUCAUGUUUCGACGCUCCGUAGAUACUGAUCUGAUCCUUCACAUGUGAUUAGUCCGAUGGAGAUUGAAAUUAACUCUGAUAUGUCAUAUGAAGAAGAACCGAUUAGCAUUCUAGCUCAUGAGAUCAAAGAAUUACGAAAUAAGAAAAUUCCGUUAGUUAAAGUAUUGUGGCAUAAACAUGGAGUUGAAGAAGCAACUUGGGAGUCAGAAGAUACAAUGAAAGAGCGUUAUCCAAACCUAUUCACCGGUAAGAUUUUCGAGAACGAAAAUCCCUAAGGGGGGAGAGUUGUAACAACCCGGUUUGACUCUAAUCGGAAUAGUGGUUUUGGGACCACAAAUCUGAAUUAGAAAAAUAUUUUUAUAUUAUUUUCUGUGUUUAUUAUGUGUGAAUUUACUAGUGUGAAAAUUUUGUGCUUUAAUUUUGCCAUUUGAGUGUCCGAUUAAAUAAAAGGAUUAAAUCGCAUAAAAUGAAAAUUUAGGGGUUAAAUCUAAAAGCACCCAAUUGUUGUUGUCUUUCAAAAAUAGGGGUUUUAAAUGACAAUUAAGCCAUUUAGAUGAUAGUGGGUGGCAAUGGUCAACAUUGCCCUUAUAUUAUAUGUUUUAUAAUUUAUUUAUUUAAGGUUAAAUUUGUAAACUAAAAUUUAUGCUAAUAUAUUUUAAAUUAAAACAUAAAAAAAGGUCAUUUUUCAUCUUUCUUGGCCGAAUAUAGAAAAUAAAGAAUUCAUCCAUGCUUGUUAAAGUUUCGGCACAAAACUAGCUUGAUUAAAGGUAUGUUUUACUUCGGUUUUUGAUAAUUUUUACGUUUUUGAGAUCGUUGCUUUGUGUUCUUCAAAACCCAUAUCUUAAUUUUGUGAAUUUUGGAUGAUUUUGAAAUGUGCCAUUGAUGAAUGCUUGAGUUUUAUGAUGUUAGUCGGUGAAAUAUGAAAUAUAUUUGUUAGAUUAAUAUGUUUUGUAUUGGAAUUUUUAGUGAAAUUGAGUAAAUAGGGCUAAAUUGUAAAAUUAAAUUUUUAGGGGACUAAAGUGUGAAAUAAAUGCAACGUGUGGACUUGUAUGAGAACCAUGAAUAUUCGGCCCUUGUGUGGUAUGGGCAAAUUUUGUGUAAAUUGUGUUUUAUACAAUAAGGAGUAAAUUGCAAAAAGUGUGAAUAUUAGGGGCAAAAUAGUAAUUUUCCAAAUUAUGUGUUUUUGGAUUAAAUUGAAUGUGUUAAUAAAUAAAUUAUCUUAUUUUGAAUAUAUUUAGAUCAAGAACCAAAGAAAUCAGAGUUAGAUCGGGGAAAAGCCAAAUUAGUCGAAUAAUCGUCCGACUUCGAUUUUCCAUCGUCCGAGGUAAGUCUAUUAGCAAUUAAAAGUUAUUAAAUUAAUAUUUAUACAUGUAUACUAAUUUUAUUAUGUGUUGAGCUAUAAUUAAAAGUAUAUUGAUUGAAUAAAUUUUGAAGUAUGGAUGAUAUUUAUAUAUAUAUAGCAUGUUCGAAUAUACAAGUAAAAUCUUGUAUAGAUUUAUGGUUGAAAUAAAGGUAAGAAAUGUAUAAAAGUAUAGUUGAUAUUCGAAUAAGCAUGUAUAUAUAUAUGUAAUCGCUUGUAUUGAAUUUAGGUAAGAAAGAUAUAUAUGCAUAUGUUAGAUUCGAAUAUAUAUAUAUGUAAAUACAUGAACAAGUCUUGAAAUUAGAUAAAGGUAUGAGUAUGUAUAUAUAUAUGUAUAUAUUGCUAGAAUAUAUAUAUACAUAUAUAUAAAAGUUAUUGAAAUUAGUUAAAGUAUGAAUGUUGCAUAGGUAUAAAUUCUUGAUUUUAAUCAAAGGUAUGUAUAAUAUAUAUAUAGUGCGAAUAUAUAUAUAGGUAUAUACAUGUAUAAACUCUUGAAUUUAUUUAAAGUUAUGUAACCCAUGAUUGUAUGAGAAGUUUCGAAUAGAUAUGUAUAUGUGAAUUGUAAUUUAUAUGUAUAUGCUAUAUUUGAAAAAGUAUGCUUACAUAUAUGUAUAUGUUCUUGUAAUGAAUUUUAAGUAUGAGUGUUAUAUAUAUAUAUGCAUAUGUGUGAGGUUCGAAUAUAUAGUUAUGCAUAUAUAUAUUUGCGUACAGGUAUAAUUUCUUGUAUUGAAAUUAGUUAUGGAAUUAUAUAUUGAUAUAUAUAUGGUCGAAUGUAUAUGUAUAUAUAUGUUUAAGGUUUGCAUUGGAUUAAAAGUAUAAAUUGUAAAUGCUUGUAUGAUUCGAACAGGGAUUAUAAAUUUUCUUGGGAUAGAGUUGAGGAUGUGAAUUAUACAUAAAUGUUAUGAACGUGUGUUGCUAUUAAGAAAUAUACGAGAAAUCAUCCUUGUAUCUGUGAAAUUGAAAUUUUCAAGCUAAGCGCCUAGCAGGCUAAAUGCCGGUGAAUUUUUCAGACUAUAAAUCUAGCAGGCUAAGUGCCGGUGAUCGGAAUCAGGUUAUAAACCUAGCAGGCUACGUGCCGGUGAUAUGAAUCAGGCUAUAAGCCUAGCAGGCUAAGUGCCGGUGAAUAUGUUAAAUUAUGUGAUUAUAUGCAUUAGAUAGAUAUAUAAAUAUAACUGAUUUUGGGUUAUAUAUAUAAUGAAUUAGUAUAUGAAUAUUUAUUUAUAUUUAUUCGAUGAGCUUAUAAAUGUUUCAAUCUAUAAGUUUAGUGAAUAGGCAUAUAUACAUUGGUUGAUAUGAAAAUUGUUGAAUAUACUUGUACGGAAUCGGCACAUAUGGAUUAGAAGUAUAAAUGUGCAUAUGAUUCAUGUAGUUUAUAAGUGGAAAUAUAAGUUUUUGACAUAUGUUUUUGAAAGAUCAUAAACAAGCAUUCAAUGAAAUGCAAAUGAUAAGUAUAUUUGGAAUAUAUAUAUGCAAUUAAUGAUUAUGUAUGUAACUUGAUUUUUUAGGUAUAUAAUGAUUAUACAUAUGAUCGUUUAUAUGUAUUUUGGUUAUGCUAUAAACUUACUAAGCUAUAAAAGCUUACUUUGAUUGUUUUUGUUCAUUUGUUUUAUAGAUUUUGGAGACGCGUUACGAGCUCGGGGAUCAUCAGCAUAGUCUAUCACACUAUCGACUUCUUUUGGUAUUUUGUUAACAGUUUGAACUUGAUCUUAUGGCAUGUAUAGGUUUAAGUAUGAUUUUGGUUAGAUUUGGAUUGUAUAUAUAUAUAGCAAUGCGAAAAUGGUUUAAUUUCCAUGUUUGUGAUCAGUUUAGUUUUAAAAAUGGUUGUGUUUGUUCGGUAAUGCCUCGUAACCCUAAUUCGGCGACGGAUACGGGUUAGGGGUGUUACACUGAAAGUAAAGAGAAUGAACAUGGAAAUGAAGAGUAAAGAAGCCAUUAAAGUAAAGCUUAAUAAAAAUAUGAAAGUUUAGGUUUUUAUGUAAUAAAAUUUAAAGAACAUGAAACUAAAGCCAUUCAAUAAGAAAAUCUAAAGCAAUAAGUAUAAAAUGAACAAACUUCAGUUGAUUGAAAGUAAAAGAAACUGAAAUACAUUAAAAAAAUUAGAAAUGUCUUACAACCAAGGUACAUUGACUGAAAGUAAAUCAAGAAUAAGAAGUAAAUGUAGAAAAAUAAACCCUAAAACUAAAAAGGAAGAAGAGAAAAUGAAAACCCAAAAAACGUUACAGAAAAACAAGAGAAAAUUAGAGAAAACUAAAGCUAAAACUAAACUAAUGUGUGUCUUCCUCCUCCUCAGCCAAAUUUGGUUGUCUAAACUAAUGUGUGUCUUCCUCAUCCUCAGCCAAAUUUGGUUGUUUUAGGCUGAAUUCUGAUGAAUUUUCAUAGCCAAAAUUACCCUUACAUGGGCCUUGAGUGAUUGGUGGAUUGGGUGGACAAAAACUACCUUUUUGUCCAAUUUUGUCCCCCUCAUGAUGUCGGUGUCGUGAUACCCAAACGAGGAUAUUACGACACCUUAGGCAAUUUUGAGCCUUGAGGUCUUCUUUGAAGGAUGGAUAUCGCGAUACCCAAAAUGGAUAUCACGAUACCACUGAAGGGUGGUCUCCAAUAUUUUAUACUAUUGGAGGUAUUAAAAUUUCAAUGUGUAAAUAUCGUGAUACCCUUUCCUUUGGUGUCAUUUUCGCUCGUUUUCAUCCUCCAACACGUCUCUACACCAUUCAACCAAAUGUUAUCCCCCCUAAUUGCACUAUUGGCCAAAUUGGAUCACAAAAUGAGUAAAAAUGAGACAUUUUUACUUAUUAACUUAAACUCUAAAAAUUACAAAAAACUAUGCAAAAGACACUACUUUGGUUAAGAAUAAGCUCCUUAAGUAUACCAAGAAAGCUUAAUUUUCCAUAUCAAAUUAUGGCAGAUCAAUAUGGUACACUAGUUUGCUCGAACAUUGUGCGAAAUGGGUUUUGUAACGUGAUUGGUUAAGAGUCAACUGAAAAGAUUGACUGGUCAAACAACAUAUGUAUCGAAUUCUGUUUUAUAUUUCUCUUGAUUCUUAUAAAGCAUGAAAAGGAUAAUUUAUGUAUACAUUUAACAGUUAUCAAGAUCCACUAAAAGGAACUGAGUAUAUAUAUAUGGUACGAAGGGAACAUUUAGAUAGUUUUUCUUCCUUUUGUUUCACACUUUGGUUUUUCUUCCUAAACCUAAAUAUUCUUUUCUUUUUUGUUAAACUGGAAGUUAAGGUUUUUGGGGUAAUCGGUGGAUGUUUCAACCUCCUGGUAAGUUUGAUAGCUCUGCAUGUUAUGAUUUCAAAAUAGCAAAGGUGUUAAAAGACAUAAAUACAAUAGUGAGUGAAAAGAAGACCUUGCAUGAGGGUUGUAUGCAAUUGAUAUACUGGUCAACUGUCUGUACAUGGCGUUUUAAUGGUAAUCCCAUGUUCUUUUAAGUAGUUGUUUCUGUUAGUUUGGGAAAGACGAUCUAAUUUAGAACUCCGAUCUACAAUAAAGGUGAGUUUCAAGUGAACCUUUAACCUGAAUCAUAGAUGUUAAAUUUACAAUGGUUAUUUGUAAGUUAGUAUAUUAUCAAAAAACUGAUUAAUACAUGUGUUUGUGAAGUAUUGUAAAGGUUCCGCAUGUUUACAAAUGAGACAUAUGAGUUGUUGCAUAAAUAAGAUGAUGUGUGGUAUGCACGCAUGUGAAAUCAGGUAUGGAAGAGUAUGAAUUUUUCAAGAGUGUGUGAAUGAUUCUAGGUAAGUGUGUUCUAUGUUAAAUGAGUAAAACAACUAUUUGUGUUGCUUCUGGUAGGCCAGGUACAUUGCUAAAUGGACUGACAGAUCACAAUAUGCAUAUAUGUGUAAUACCAUGUGGUAGAGACCCAUGACAUCAUAUGAGAAUGAAAAUACUUAUUGUAACACCCUAUACCCGGUUCAGUUGCUUGACUCGAGCUACAAGGUAUUACAACUAUAAAACUUUGACAUCAUUCACAAUUUAAUAAAAAAACCUAAUAAUUCAUUUGUAGUAAUUUUCCAUGUUAUUCAAUCAAAACAAGACUUAAUUCGAUCAUAUAAAGCAUUUAAAACAUAUCGAGAACAAUUUUGGAUUAAAAUAAAACUUUUACAAAAAAAUUGAGUAAAAAGUGUAAACAGGGGUCAUACGACCGUGCGACAAAGCUCAGCCUGUGUGGCUCAAGAACAUGGCUGUGUGGCCAAAUCGUGUAACAAACUAUGCCCAUGUAACUCAGGGUUACACGGCCGUAUAACUCUUUGAGGUCGUAUGAACAAUCUUGUACCCAAAAUCAAGAGACUAUACGGUCGUGUCCUACGACUGUGUGGGGCACACAGUCGUGUGGCAGAUCAUGUCACAAGCCGUGUGUACCCAAAAAUACCUUUAAACUCAAGCCAUUUUAGCUAUAAUUUCUUAGAUACCAAGCCAUGCAAUUGCUAUCACAUAAACCUAUUCAAAAUGUACCAAAACAUGCCAAAAUAGACCAAUUCACAUUUAACCUAUGUGGCUAACCAAUAUGCCACAAUUGACACCACAAUUCAAACAUGAAACAUCAAUCAUUCGUUCCAUUCAAGUCAAUAAUUCCAACAUCAACAAUUACCAGCAUUCAUAACCAAAAUAAGCUAUUACCUAGACACAUAUAAAGUCAUUCAAAACUUGACCAACAUCAUCUCAUUACCAUGUAUCAAAUAGGUACUAAACAUUUAAUACAUCAAAGUUUCAUAUAAUCUCAUUCACAACCAAAAUACCAAAACAUGAUCAUUAACAUAACAUCCUAUAUACAUGCCACAAGUAACCAACUAUUGAACUUUUAAAUCUACCAAAUUUAGUGACAGUAGAUGUGAGCUUCUCGCUAAUCCGAUCGACACGUACCGAACGUCCAAAACCUAUAAAAAAAAGUAGUAACAUGAGUGAGUAUAUAAAAUACUUAGUAAGCUCAUACAAUAUAAACAUUCACUUACCUCAAAUUCUUAUCAUAAAUAAAUUCAAUAUGAGAUACAAAUAAACCUAUCAAAAUUCAACCUAUACAAAUAAGCCGACCAACUCAAAUUCAAGAGCCCUCCGACGAACUCAAACUCAAAGGUCUUUGGACCCACUCUAACUCAAGAGACCUCUGACCAACUCAAAUAGAAGGAUAAUGCGCAUCAGUGCACUCGAACCCACGUCUUCCUGCAUUGGCAACAAUGUCCAUACCAAUCGAGUUAAGACUCAAUUGACUCAAUCUCGCUAGGCCUUACAAGCCCAUUUUGAUUACAAUGACCCAUUAGACAACAUAAAUGUAGCUUGCAACCACUCCAAUGCUACUUAGGCACAGUUUUGCACUACUUAGGUGCCCUCAAACCGAUUGCCUCAAUAGGACACUACACUUGCUCCAACGAUCCUCAAGUGUACUCUAGCUCGUUGCUUGUGGAGCCUUUAUUGGUUCCAACAGCGGAAAACGGAAACGAUUCUCAUGUUUAAACAGUAGUAUAAUUUGCUUCUAAAUUGUUGGAAAUAUACUACUACAAAACAAAAUUGUUAACGCUAACAGGAAACCAAACUAAGUGUAAAUAAAAUAGCAAUGACUGUGUCGUGGAAGAACCACUUCCUUAGAAGCAAAUUCGCCCUGGUCAGUAUAAUCAUGUAGUGGACGUUGUUGCCCAAGGUUAACACAAUACUUCAAUAUUCGUACACCCGAAUAAAGAAGGUGGAACACAAUUGGCAUUACUUUUCUAGAACGGAAUGAAAAUCGAAAAACAAAAGCAGUUGAUCGAAAAAUAAACUAGAAGAAACUAGCGAAACCACACUAGAUUCAAUUCCUAGGAAAGAUUGGAGGGGUCACAGAAGGAUAAGAGAAGUUGUUUUUCUCUCUAUUUUUCUCUUUUUGUGUUCUGUCUAAAAUGAGGAGAAUGACAUCCUAUUUAUACAAUUUUUUGAAGGGCAAAGUAGUAAAAUAUGUACGGGCAAAAAGGUAAAAUUGGUAGAAAUAAUUUCCUAAAAGUUUGCAGUAGUUAAAUAAAAAUAUUUUAUGCAAUAGAUUUUCAAAUACAUAAGUUUUGCCCAAAAAUAAUCACGUGUGGUAUGUGUCAUAGACACGUGUUAACACGAACUAAGCGACAACGCACAUGUGCUAAACCUUUAACUCUAUUACUCAAUAAAGGAAAGAGGCAAAUUUAUAUAUAAACCCUCUUAGAAGCUUAUGCCUAACCAACCUGGAAUUGUCUUUUGCAUUUCCAGCAAUUGGUUGGUUUUGUUUGCCGGUAGCCUUUGUCCCAGUGAGUUAGUUUCGUCCGCGAUAUGGCUUGAGUCCUGCUUUAUUAUCUUUCAGGUGGUGAAAGCCUGAAGCAAGUGUAAUUUAUUUUAUUCUUGUGUGACUUGUGUAUACGCGAUCUUUAAUUAUAAUUUCUAAUGAACUUUUUAUUGUUGUUGAGAUCUUUUAUAUCCCUUUCUUUCUUUUGAUGUUACAAUAAAUGCAAAUUUCUUUUGAAAAAAAAUAUUCUAAAAUACUUAAAUAAAUCUAAACACGAGUAAAAAAACCCUAAAUAUAUAUUAUAUAAUAUCAUAUCAUAUCUAAAAUACGUAAAAUUUGAUUAAUAUCAAUCCGUGUAAUAAAUAAGUUAAAUAAAUGGAUUUAAAGUUAAAAAAGUGGAUGAUUAUGAUUCACUGUUCAAAUUAUGAAAUAAUUUAAAGAUCGUUAUAAAUAAAAUAAAAUAUAGAAAUUUGUGUAAGAUGAACCACAAAUUCAUAAAAAUUAUAAAUAAUCAUUUUGCUCUUAAAAUAAUCAUUAUAAAUAAUCAUUUUACUCUUAAAAAUUAUCCUUCUCCUAUAAUUCAUAAAAGAACCACAAAACUACUCUAAUUUUGAAAAUAAUUCUAGAAGGUCCUAGUACUUUUUGGGGGCAAAGAAAAGCCAUAAACGGCAGCGUCGUCUUAAAGGCAAAUAUCUACCUUUCUUAAAUCUCUGGGUCAAAGGAAAGACCAAUCUUAGCGUGUAAUCCAAGGUGAUCCAAAACUCUACAUGACACGUGGCUUCCUCUUUUCCGUACUUUUCCUUAUAAAUCUACGUUUUUCCUCCUAAUUUCGCAUCAAAUUUCCAAUCGUCUUUUCUUUUAAUAUUUGUUCAAAGCUUUCGAUUACAAAUCCCUCGCGAAAGGUAAUCUUUGGUUUUCAUCUUCUUUUCCUUCUCUCGAUUCUUGAUUUUCUUUUUAAUUGUUGUCGUUGAACUUUUUUGGGUAUAUUUUUGUUCGAUUUAUUUAGGGUUUUUAUCUUGUUGAUUUCUUCAAUUCGAUCGGUUUUGAGAUAAAUAUUAGCAUCUGUUUGUAUAAUUAUCUCUUAUUUUUUCGAAUUCAAGAUCAUAAAUCCUCGGUUGUUUUGGCUGUAUAAUUUAUUGUUAAUAUUAGGGUUUCAUCGUUUAUUGCUGAUCUAGUUUCUGGAUCUAAUUAUAAUUGAUUUUUAUUUCUUUCUUAUGACUGUUGUUUUCUUAUGUUAUCAAUCCGUUGAUUUUGUGUGAUUUAUUGGUGAGUCUAAGUUGGGUGGUCGGCCCAAAUUGGAUGUUAUUGUUCAUGUUAUUCGAUUGGUAGAUUGUAUGAAAUAAAUAUUGUUGAUUUCGGUUUUUAAUUGCUUGAUGUAUUAUUCAUAAUUUGUGGUGUAAGGUGUUAUUUCAACUUUAUAUGUAGGUAUAAUCUAUCCCGAAUUUGAUCUUGGUUGCUUCUACUCUACUUUUUGUUAUUUGCUCUUCAAAAAAUGUUAUAAUUUGGUUCAUGCGAAGUAAUUCUGUGUUUCAUGUCGACACAACAGAUGCAGAUCUUUGUGAAAACUCUUACUGGUAAGACCAUCACCCUCGAGGUGGAAAGCUCCGACACAAUUGAUAAUGUCAAGGCCAAGAUCCAAGACAAGGAAGGGAUCCCCCCUGACCAACAGAGGCUUAUCUUCGCCGGGAAACAGCUUGAGGAUGGCCGUACCCUUGCUGACUACAACAUCCAAAAGGAGUCCACCCUCCACCUUGUCCUUCGUCUCAGGGGUGGCAUGCAGAUCUUCGUAAAAACCCUUACUGGCAAGACAAUCACCCUUGAGGUUGAAAGCUCUGACACAAUUGAUAAUGUCAAGGCUAAGAUCCAGGAUAAAGAAGGGAUCCCUCCUGACCAACAGAGGCUUAUCUUUGCCGGUAAGCAACUGGAAGAUGGUCGCACCCUUGCUGACUACAACAUUCAAAAAGAGUCUACCCUCCACCUUGUGCUUCGUCUCAGGGGUGGCAUGCAAAUAUUUGUCAAAACCCUUACUGGCAAGACAAUCACCCUUGAAGUAGAAAGCUCCGACACAAUUGAUAAUGUCAAGGCCAAGAUCCAAGACAAAGAAGGUAUCCCUCCUGACCAACAGAGGCUUAUCUUUGCUGGUAAACAACUGGAGGAUGGCCGCACCCUUGCUGACUACAACAUCCAGAAAGAGUCUACCCUCCACCUUGUCCUUCGUCUUAGGGGUGGCAUGCAGAUCUUUGUAAAAACGCUCACUGGAAAAACCAUCACUUUAGAGGUGGAGAGUUCUGAUACAAUUGAUAACGUUAAGGCCAAGAUUCAGGACAAGGAGGGCAUCCCACCUGACCAGCAGAGGUUAAUUUUUGCUGGGAAACAGCUUGAAGAUGGCAGAACCCUUGCAGACUAUAACAUUCAAAAGGAGUCUACCCUCCAUUUGGUGUUGCGUCUUCGUGGUGGUAUGCAAAUUUUUGUGAAGACCCUCACAGGAAAGACUAUUACCUUGGAAGUUGAGAGUUCUGAUACGAUUGACAAUGUAAAAGCAAAGAUUCAGGACAAGGAGGGAAUUCCCCCGGAUCAGCAGAGGUUGAUCUUUGCUGGGAAGCAGUUGGAGGACGGUCGAACUCUAGCUGACUACAAUAUCCAGAAGGAGUCUACUCUGCAUCUUGUCCUUCGCCUCCGUGGUGGUUUCUGAUUUGGGUCCUGUUAACCAUUCUGCCUUUGGUGUUGUCUGGUUUUCUUUUUAUUUCAUGAUGUUUAGCCAUUAAAGUGGCAAAACCUUCUAUUAGUUGAAGGUCCUUGUGUUUUUUAUUUUUAAGGUAAUGAUAUUAGUUGAAGAUCCUUGUGUUUUUUAUUUUUAAGGUAAUGAUACUUUGGUGUGAAGUGGUUAGAGAGCCACAACUCAGUUACUAUAUUAAAUAAGGUUCGGACUAUUUCUUAAUCUCCUAUCCUUAAACAUUCAUUUCGCAUGUUGCUCUGUCAUAUGUUCUGCGAGCAUGUGCAUUGUUGAGUGGUGAAUGGUAUUUAGCCUUUUGUUUUACGCCAUAAUCUAUUACUGAGAAUAGAUGGAGCUUUUCUUUAUAAAAGAUUAAAGUCACUGUAUCAGUAUCUAGCCAAUUUUGGAGCUGUGAGAUAUGCGGUAGGGUGAUUGAGUAGAGGAAUUCAAUGGUAAAACGGAAUCCAUGUAGGGCAGACGUUAGCUUUCAUAAAUAAAUCACUGCAGCAAAACCAACAAUAUUAAUUUCUUCCCUUUUUCCCAAGAAACUAACCACAACUAAAUAACUUCUCAAUAACUAGCUGUAUUUUUUCCUAAAGAUGAACUAUAGCCACUGGAAAUUAAGGUUCUCAACUUCAAAACUUUUGAAUCGAGUAUCCAUUCAUGUAUAAAUGAGAUAACCUAAAGGUGAACCAGUUAAUGGGUGAUUAAACAGUAUUUACACUAAUCUAAAUCCCUUAAAUUUUUAGUUGGAUCUCAUUGUUACUCCGAGUAAAAGAUUUUGCAAAACUACUUCGGUUUUUCUCUGAACUGACACAAUCGAAGACGAGGCUGAAGAUGGUGGUGUGUUGCCGUUUCCAUCAUUCUUAUUUACUUGAGGGCUGGAGUGGUCAGCACCAGCUCCUGUUGACUCUGGAUCUGCUUUGGGCAAAUAUGUUUCAUCAGAAUGUAACUUCCAAGGUUCACUGGAUUUCAGAAUCCACGACACUCCUCUAGAGAACUCUGGUAUGCUCGUGGUGUCGGUUUAAAAAGUCUUCAAGUGUCGCAAGAGAUUUCAGUUGCUGCCCUAAAGAACUGAUGAAGAAGAAUGGAGGGUUUGAUUUAGGGAUUUUGAUUUGAGAGGUUUGAAUUUGAUAAUUGAUUUUGGGAUGUAUUUGAUUGGACUCAAACUCGAUUAAAAUAAUUCAAGCACUGCCUUGCUUCAAUUGAAAGUUGCCACCUUAUUUUCUUUGAUCAAUUAUCAUUAGAAAUUAUGCUGUCUUGCUUCUUGAAUGAGUUUUUCUUUUGCCAAGGUUUUAUUUAACUCCACACUUGGAUCUAAACAUUGUAAGUGGCAUGUUCUCACCCCGCAACUCUCUUUCUGUUACCUCGUUCUAUCUGCCUUAUAAUCAUGGCUGUAGGAAUCUAAUUUUAAGACCUAAAGCUUUGUGAAAAAUUAAUAACAAUUUGACACCCAAUUUCAUACACUUUACAUCUUCCUACAUUUGAAUACGAAAUUGUUAACAUCCAUUAAUUUAUCAGGUUCAUGUUCUUGGAAUUUCAGUUAUACAAUCCCAAGCCGGUUACUGUUCCUAAUUAAAUUAAGAGAUUUAAAACUUUUAACAAACUGCACACGAUUAUGUGCUUUUUAUUGUGAUGAAGAGAGCGAGUACAGCUAAAACACCAGAGUAACUAAGGGAGACAUUACAUUUAUUCUUGAGAACAUAUUUUGUUUAAAUCAAACUGCGAGAUGGCGUGUCACACCUCCCAGGCUCCAUCUCACAUUCGGACAUUAUUUUCUUGGUAACCUUUUGCAUGAUCUCUCGCAUCUGUUUGCUCCCCAUUUGUUCUUGCAUCUGUUGCAUCUGUUGCAUCGUUGCAUGUCUUAGACCUUGACAUCUGCAUUGCGUAUCCAUCUUCUCUAGCUGCUGGCAACAUGAGUCAAUGUACCCGCCGGCUAUAUUGUCGCUGCCUUCGCCACCCCACUCUUCCUCCAUGUACUUCUGGCAGUGCUUCAGGUGGGCUUGCUUCCUUAUCUGCUGUUCACAGCUAUCCCGGUUUUCCUCGCUUUCGACCGUCACAGAUGUGAUUGAAGCAUUGGCAAGGAACAAAAUGAGAGCCAGGGUGGCUAAGUAAACUGCGAGCUUUGCCAUUGUUGAUUUAUGCUGGUAUGGAGAAAAUAAUCAGAUGAGAAGGGUGAGCAAUGGGGUGGAGGAGUGAUGGUAAUUUAUAGGAGAGUUGAACCUUUGCAUGGGGAAUACGUGUGAUGUUGAAACUUGAAACCUAACACGUAGGUUAAUUUCUGCAUGCAAGAAUGGACACAUUUGUUUGUUUGGUUAUGAAACUGCCUUAACUGGGAUCGAUAGUAUUCAGGUUCUCUGUGUAAUUUUAAGAUCUCCUGGGGAUAAAAUGGUUUCACUUUGCAUUGGUGAUCCAAUUUGGAUUCAACCCUCAAACACUUAACGCAAUUUGGAUAUUUUUCAAGCCCAUGUAUAUGUUCAAAAUUUUAAAAAUAUAUAAUAAAAAAUGUUUGCGGUGCUUGGAAAACCUCCUUAAGUUGAUCGUUACGCUCAGAGACUUCAUUAGGUCAACUUCAAAGAUGACCUCACCAACAUCUCACUUCACCGAACAGUGCAUGGCUAUGAAAUAUACAAACCACCUUUUAUGACUUAAAAAAGAGGGUAUUUUUUAAUUUUCCGCCAAUUGUAGUGGUACUUUGGAUACAUUUUAACAUUUAAUCAGCUUACUUUUUAGGUAUUUUAUAAUUAAUUAUUGUAUUUUUAGUAAUAGUAAUUUAGGAUUUAAUUAUCAGUAAAAUAAGCGUUUUUAUGCAUUUUUUGAUGUCUCGAUGACCCAUAAAGGUUAACUUGGGCCUCGAGAGUGAUUAAUAGCUAAUUAAGUGUGUAGGAUGCCAAUUUAGGCCAAGAGUCUUGUUGGGGAUCAACCCGAUUAAGCAACAAACAAAUAAAAAUAGCAGAAGAAAUUGAGGAAUUGAACACACAAAAUUAACGUGGAAAAAUCUCUUCAAAGAGGAUAAAAAACUACCGGCAAAGAUAAAACUUGGGCCCGAUCCGACCCGCCCGUAUUAAUUUUUUAUAUUAAUUUUAUAUAAUUUUUAAAUAUAUAUAAUACAUCAAAAUUACUAAAGAUAUCAAAAUAAAUAUUUUCCAACAAAUUGAAAAUAAAUUUUAAAAAAUAUGUAUUAACACUAGAUGCAACUUAACAAGCAAAUGCCUCUAAAAUAAUAACAAAAUUAACAAAUGUCUCUAAAAUAAUAACAAAAUUAUCAAUAAAACAAGUUUUAUACAAUAUCCAAAUAAUAACAACAAAAUAGUAGCAAUAUAAUAGUAAAGUAGUAGCAAAAUAGGGAGAAAACAAAAAAAAAUAGUAUAUAUUAAAAAACAAAAAAAAUUUAUUUUUUUGUCCUUUAGGGAAUUUGGGCCGAACCAGGCCCAAGCUAAAAAUGUCUUACCUAAGGUAAGACCAUUUUUUUAUGGGCCUUAUUUUUUGUCCAAACCCAUUUUUCGGGGUUAUAUUUUUGCCCAAAUCCUCCCACAUUUCGAGCAAGCCGGGUGGCCCGACCGAUGAAGAAGUCUAUCUUCAAUUUCAAUCUUAACCUCAACAUUAUUUAAAUCAUUCAAAAGAGUAAUAAAUUGACUAAUGUGAUCUUUAAGAAGCUCCCAUUCGUUCAUGCGAAAUGUAAAUAGACGUUGUUUCAAUACUAAAAGGUUAGCUAGAGACUUAUUCGCAUAAAGAGUUUCUAAUCUUUUCCACAAGGCGAAUGGGGCUUUCUCCAUCAAUACCUCCUGCAAUACCAUAUUCGCGAGACACAAUUGAAUUGCAGAUAGAGCCUUUUCAUCAAGCUCUUCUGAUUUUGUCUUAUCUAGAUUCUCAAGCUUUUUUUCCAGUAUCGACCUUUUUCAGGCCGGUAUGAACUAGAAUUGCCAUCAUUCGAACUUACCACAUAUUGAAAUUUGUGACACCAUCGAACUUCUUAAUGUCAAACCUUGUUGUUGUCAUCUUUAAACGUGUUGAUCUAUAAAAAUUGAAUUAGCUCUGAUACCACUUAUUGGGAAUUAACCUAAUUAAGCAACGAACAAGUAAAAAAUAGCGAAAAAAUUGAGAAAUUGAACACACAAAUUUAAUGUGAAAAAACCCCUCCAAAGAGGAUAAAAAACCACGAGUAAAGAUAAUUUUACUAUAAUGACAAAAAUACGAAGAGUACAAAAGAUGGAGAUAAAAAACUAAACUUUGAAACCUGAAAAUAAAAAACCCUCAAAAUGUAAACACAAAAUUCUUUAAAAGUAUUAUAAAUUCUAAUAUUUAGUGGGUGUAUUAUCUAAGGUUUUAAAAGAGUCUUUUUAUAAGUUAAAUUCGUAGGUCAAAUAACAAUAAAAUAAUUUAGACUAAUCAGAGUUCGAUUGAAACAAAUAAACAGAGUUUAACUGGGAGAUUAUCUCUUAAAUUUGAUUGAAAUAUGAGUUAUACUCAACAAAUCCAAGGAACAAUCGUCGAGUCGCGAUACAAGGAAGCCCGUGCUGCAACAUAGAACAACCAAGUGGCAAAGGCUGAAAAUUCAUUCGACAUUGUGAUGUGACGAGGAGUUUUCCCACAUCACAAUUGUAAUGCCCAAUUUAUGCUCGGGGCCCAAAACCAAACCUAGCCCACUAACAGCCCAUUACCCAAAUGCAUGCCCAAAUCAAAAACCCUACAGCAGCCCUAACCCAUUCACAACAAGAAAGCAAAAAACCUAACCUUAGGUGCGCCGCACCUAGGGUCUUCUGUCUUCUGCCACCGUCCCAUCACCCCACUUGCCACCGCCUCUGACCAGCGCCUCACCGCCACCAACUCUGCCACCACCAUUGUCACAUCAACCACUUGCACCUGCAAAGAUCAAAAUAGAAGUGAUAGUUUUUAAAAAAUAGAAAAAAAGGUAUGUUUCGACUAUAAGAAGCCAUUUCAACCGAAUGUAAAAGGGGAUUUUUUUGAAAAUAAUAAAAGAAAACGGUUCAAAAAAAGAGCAAAGAUUCAAAGGUUGUUUUCUUAUUUUUAUUUUUACUUUGUUUUUUUUCCUUGAUUUUUUUAUUUCGAAAUAUUAAAUAAAAAAAGAAAAAUGAAGUUUUUUUUUACCUUUUCGUUGUUGCCGGAGUGCUCGGGGGGCGAAGGGCUGCAUCGGAAGAAAAAAAGAGAAAUUUUUUGGACUCCCCGUCGCUGUGCACUGCGGCGCCGGUGACUGACGGCCGACGUGGUGGCGGUUGGCCGGAUUCUGGGCCGGUGGCCGGAUGGGGGGAGAGGAUAUUUUGAGAAGAAAGGAUUUUUUUUAAAAUGAAAGUUGAAAUGAAUUUUUUUGAAAAAUUUGACUUAAAUAGGCCUCCAAAACGACGCUGUUUUGGGCAGGCCUCUCAGGCACCAAAAUGACGCCGUUUUGGCUUGACCCGAUUUGACCCGACUCGAACCUCCUAGGAUCAGCGUGUUUUCUGGCGCAUGGGUUAUUUGCGGGCGCGAUCCUCCCGCUUUUGCGACGGUUUACAAUUGGGUCCUCAGUUGUUUUUUUUUCUUUUUAAUUUUGCGAUAUAAUUUUUAUUUUGUUUCACUUUGGUCCAUAUUGAAGUAGGGCAUUCCCUGGGCUGGGGAUAAUUUCCCAUCUGGUCCCCGUCUCUUUUUAGCUCGUUCAAAUUGGUCCCUUUCUUUCUUAUUUAUUUUCGAUUUGCCCCCGAAUUUUGUUUUAAAAUCCAAUUUAACCCCCCUGUUUUAUUAUUUCAGUUAUUUUAUUAUUAAUAUUAAUAAAUUUGAUAUUAUUAUGAUUAUGAUUAUUAUUAUUAUUAUCAUUAGUAUUAUUAUUAUAUUUCUAUUUCUAUUUACUUAUUUAAACUUUAAAUAUAUUUGUCUUAUUAUAUAUUGAUAUUAUUAUUUGCUUAUUUAUAUCUUUUUUAUUUCAAACUUUGUUAUAUAUAUAUAUAUACAUACAUAGAUAUUUUUAUUUUUAUUUUCAUUAUUGUUAUUAUUGUGUUAUUUGAUAUUUAUUUAUUUAUGUGUUCAUUAUUAUUUUGAAAAACGUUUUAGUCCUAUUUGUUUAUUUACUUAUUAUUUUAUGUAUAAUUGAUUUUAUCUUAUUUUUGUUGUUGUUGCUCGUAUUAUUUAUGUUUACAUCAUCGUGUUCAUUUUUGUUUUGUUACGCAUAGUAACACCGUAUUUUAUUCAUACUUUUUCAUGUUAGAUUAAUUUUAUUCAAUGCAUAAAUUAUGAUUUUUGAAUAAGCAAAAUCUCGUGUUUAGAUUCGAGAAGGUCGUACCCUAACUUACUGGGUUUCGAUUUUCACAAUAAAUCUAAAUACACAAAUCUUUUCAAACUCAAGUUUUAAACGAUCUCGAAAAUUAAGAAAAGAUCAUGUCCUAACUUAUUGGGCAUGAUCCCUUUUCUAAACCCGAGAUAAUUAAACAUCUUUUUAAAUAAGUAAAUUUUUGGCAUUCAUUUGCGCAUCGGAAAUUCAAGACAUUGUAUCCUAACUUACUGGAUAUAAUUCUCUUUCUCGAAUAACGUGAAAUAUGCCAUUUUCCCAAAAUUUUCAAGAUUUCAAUAAAGGAUCGUAUUUUAAAUCUCUUCAAAGUUUUCAAUUUUCGACACUAAGACAUUAAGUAAUCAACUAGGUACCAAUUUUGGGCGUAUCGAGGGUGCUAAUCCUUCCUCGUGCGUAACCGACUCCCGAACCCGUUUUUCUGAAUUUUGUGGACCAAAAUCGUUGUUUUAAUAAAAUCAAAUCGUUUAUUAAAGACAACCACUUUUCGAGGUGAGCCGAUCACACCUUAUCAAAAAAGAUUGGUGGCGACUCCUAUUUUCGUUUUCAUUUUUAAAAUCCAAGUCGACCCCGUUUUCACAAAAAAUGGUGUCAACAACAAUGACACAGCGAAGAAAAACCAAAAUGAAGUUGAUUCUUUGGACGACACUUUUGAGAUAUUUCCUUAUUUGGACCCCAAGCAUUUAUCAAAAUAUUGCAUUAAUUAGAAUCCAAAAAUGUAUCUAGGUUAAAUGGUCACCAAAUCACCGGUAGCAUAUAUAAGUAAGCUUAGGAUCACCUGAAUGGUGGGCAAACUUAGACAGAUAAUUUUUACUAAUCAAUUUUUUGUUUUUUUUAUUUUUAUGUUCGCUUAGUUGAAACUUAUCUAUUUCAAUGUGAAGACAUUUGCAAGCUGAGAUUUCUCCGGAAUCAUGCUUCAAUAUAUUUAUUCAUGAGCAUUCUCUUAUCUCUUCUCUUCCGUUCUUUUAUUUAUCUUUUGUUAAUCUAGUCCAUUAAUGUUUAUAUGUAUGAUAGAUUAUUGUGCUUUAUUUACAUCUUGCAUGAUUCGGUUUUAUUGGUUAAGUAGUUAUUUAUUUGAAAUUGUUUGUGUAUUCAAGAGUACUUAGUAUAUUAGGGAGUAACGCCCCUGGUAGAAUAUCUAGAUAGGUGACACCGGAAGGGUAUUCUGUUGUGUAUAACUUGUACCAAGCAGUGAGAUCGGGAGAGUAUUCGGAUACCUAGGAAGAGACCGGAAUGGUGACUUAGAUGGUAAUCCUUAGUGAAGAUGAGACAUGAAGGAUAUUCUUAACUAAGGGUGAUAAAUCACUUAAUCGAGAAUAAUUAACUAUUUAAUUAAACAAUUAGAAAUUUAAUCGAUAAUAGACUAGAGGCUCGCAUUGUUGACACUAUGAGAGGAGAGAUCUCCUCUUCCAAUCUCUUAAAAAAUCAUUUGCAGCUCCAACUUUCAAGUAAAUUGUCAUCAACCGCAAAAUCUAUUUUUAUCCAUCUCAAUAAAAAAUCUAAUAUUUUAAAAAAUUAAUUAAAAAAUACCAAAAUAUUUCAAAACAAUAAAAGAUGCUUAAAAAUUAAAAUAAAAUUCACCGAAAAAUGCAUAAAAUUUGGGCCAGUUUUACACAUGAUAUUUAUAUCAUACAUAGUUUAACUAAAUCACAUUUUAUCAAUCUUAAAUUUAGCUCAAAUAUAUCAAUGUUUAUCAAUAAAUAAUUUAAACUCAUUAUUUUUAUUUUUUAAAAAAUAAUCUUAUUUAUUUUUUAUUUCAUCAAAUUUAUAAAUAUAAACAAUUAAAUAUAUAUUUUAAUAUUUAUACUAUAACAUAGCAUUUUUAAUUUUCAAUUUAUCAUACAUCAUAUAAUAUAUAAAACAAGAAAUAGAUCACAUCUUCGGACCUUAGCCUAUGUAUUAAAUGUUUUGUGUCUAAAACAAUUUUUCGAAUUUAAUAUUUUUUUCAAAUCUUUUCAAAUUCCAGUCAGCUUCUAUACUUUUGAAAUUCAUAAAAGUUGAGGGUUUGAAUUUACAAAUUAAUUGAGACUAAAGCCUGUAAUUUAGUUGAAGCAUAAAAAUUUGAUAUUUUGUAUUUACGAGAUAUUUUGCUUAUUUGUUUUCUCUCUUCCCAAACCAACCCUCAAAACUCAGCGCCAGAGAGCUCAGACUUCGAUCAUCAAUUUUAGGGUUUUUUUCCUAUUAUUUCAUAAUCAGAUUCUUGAUUAUCCAAAAUUCUAAUCUUCAGAUCAGGUUUGUUUUCACCGCUUUUUUACUUUUUAUUUUAUUUAUAAUUGCAAUCGAUGAUUUGAUUGUGUAAAUUCUCUUUGAUGCUUGUUUUGGGUUUUAUGUUUAAUCGAAAAAAAAAGUGAAGAUUUUCGGCUCCUUUUUCUGAAACUAUUAUCACAACCCUUGUUGGUACUCUUUGGGUAUAAUAUAACUAAGCAAUCCCUGCCUUUCUUACCAGAAAAAAAAAUUAUUGAUAUAAUUUAGCAUUCCUUUUUGGUUAAAAUUCACUGUUACCCUCUUUAGGUUAGAUCAACAUAAUGGGUGCCCCUUUUGCGAAAAAUGUCUAUUUUUGUUCGUGGCUUAUGCUUGGAGCUGCAGAAAUCUAUGUAUGAAUCUAUGGUGCUUUAUCUUUGUGUAGGUUUUUGCUUGACCAAGAAUGCUAAUUUUUUAUUUUCAUGAAAUGUUUGUUUAUGCUUUGAUAGUUUGUUUUCCUUUUAGCAGAAAGUAAUUUGAUAAAAUGUUUGAUUGAGAGAUGUGAAGAGAGAUAAAACUUUAUAAUCUAGUCAAAUGAAAUCACUGAUCAACAUUUGGCCUUGCAAUGUAGGUCUUAGUUUUCUAGUUGUUGGGCUCUUUCGACCAGCUAAGUUUCAUGUCUGAUCUUGACAUCCAGAUUCCUACUGUCUUUGGUAAGCAUUUCCCUCUCAUACCAAAUUGUCUCGGUAUUGAAAAAUCUAACUAGUACCCAUUGUCGUUCUGCUAGAUCCGUUUGCUGAUGCAAAUGCUGAAGACUCUGGUGCCGGUGCCAAGGAGUAUGUGCAUAUUCGUAUUCAGCAGCGGAAUGGUAGGAAAAGCCUGACCACUGUCCAGGGGUUGAAAAAAGAAUUCAGCUAUAACAAAAUUCUUAAGGACCUCAAGAAAGAGUUUUGUUGCAAUGGCACUGUGGUCCAAGACCCUGAAUUAGGGCAGGUGUGUGUCUAACCACCUAAGAAAGUGAUCGACUUUGGCUUCCAUCUUUGCUCUCGAUUGUUAAGUUUAUUAUACUUGGGUUUUUUGUAGGUUAUUCAGCUUCAAGGCGAUCAAAGGAAGAAUGUUUCCACCUUCCUUGUUCAGGUCAUUGCCGUUACCCUUUCAUUUAGAUAUUCUUAAAACCAGCUAGAGUUUUCCAAUUUUGACAUAACUAUUUUCGUUUGGUUAGUCAUGCAUGUGCCGAGCUUCGUAUUUUCAAUUCACCGCAUGUUGAAUUCUUAUUUGCUUUUGUGAACAGGCCGGUAUUGUGAAGAAGGAUAACAUCAAAAUCCACGGCUUUUAAAGUUGCAACGGCUAAAAUUUCUUCAAGACUAUCCUAUUCUGAAACUCCUAUAUAUGUAAUGUUAUAAUAUGUUUAUAGUGGUGUGAUACUGAUAAAUGCACCCUGUGACUGUUUUUCUUGUUGUGCUUUCAACUCUUUAGCCCUAUGUGAUGCUGAAUGGCGAUGUUAGCUUUAAUUAUUUCUAUUUCUCACAUGGUUGUUGCUACCAUCAUCUUUAGUAAAAACUAUUUGACAGGUUAUUCCCUUUCACAUCGUAUUUUGCCAGUUUUUUAAGCCUUGGAUUGAAUUGGUAUCGGCAUAUGAGUAAUAGGUUCUUAAAGUUGACCAUGUACCCAAUGCUUGGUUACUGGAUAAGUUUUUGGUGCAUUUUUUUUACUUGUUUUUGCUCGAAUAACAGUUAAAAGAGGAGUAUAAGUCAAUCGUAAUGAGUUUUAUAAGAUUUUGUAAUUUAAGAAUUCCAAACUUUUGAAUCGGAUAUUGCUAGAAUUUCGUUGGAAUUUGGACACAACAUACUAGCUUUGCUUUGACUAGUGGUUGAGAUCACUCCUGAUAGUAGCGAGUCUACUUUCUUUUUUUGGUGGUUCUUGGUUUCCAUGAUGUUUUGGUGUCGUUUUUUUGGCCUUCUUUAUGGGGGCGUGCAUGCCGUCGAUGGUAAAAUUCCCCUUGGCCCCCGAACAUCUUGGUUAGGGGUGAGUAAAACUCGAUUCGAUUCGAAAAAAUCGAAAAAGGAAUUCGAAUUUCGAGUUAAUCGAAUCGAGUUAUUCGAAUCAACUUGAAUUUUUUUUUCGAAUUUCGAGUUCGAAUCGAGUUGAGUUUUCAAAUUCGAAUAAUUCGAAUAAUUCGAAUAUCAAACUAUAAUAUUUUACAUUUUUACCCCAAACUCUUGAACUUUUUUUACUUUUCCCUCAAAAUUUUUACUCUUUCCCACUUUCCCUCCAAAACUUUUACUCCCCUCCCCUCCCAACCCCCCAAUCUACUUAAAAUCUAUUUCCCACCAAAAUUUUACUCUCCCAUUCAUUUUUUCUCAAAAUUUUACUCCCAAAAACUCUCAAAACCUUUUAUUUUCUCUCAAAAUUUUUACUCCCUCCCACUUUUUCUCUAAAACUUUUAUUCUCUUACCAUCUCACCUCCCAUCUACCCCAAACCCUCCUCCCUCCAAUUUUUUUUUAAAUAUUUUUCCUCCAAAAUUUUACUUCCCCUAUUUACUUUCCCUCAAACUUUUACUCUCCAAAACUUUUUAUUUUCCCCCUAAACUUUUACUUCUCACCCUUUACCCUCAAAUAAAAAAUCAAAAUUAUCCAAAAAAUUUCACUAAACAUAAAUAGUAAUAAUUUUAUUUAUAUUUACUAUUUAUAUUAUUAAAUUAAAUUUCACAUUUUAUAUUAUUUAUAUUAUUGAAUUGUUUAGUCAUAUUGAAUAUUUAUAUUAAAAUUGAAUUAUUAAUUAUGCCAUAAAAUAUUCGUGUUAAAAUUUUAUAUUGGUAUCAAUUUCACAUUUUAUUUUUAAAAUAACUUUUAUUAAAAAAAUCAUAUUUUUACAUUUAAUAUAUUUUUUAAUUUCAAAAUACAUAGUGACAAGAAUCUGAAGAUAAUUGAAACAACUAUGCAAGCAAAGAAGCUAACCAAUAUAUAAAAAAUUAAUAAAUAAAUUAUGAGGUGAUAAAAGUUAAUAAAAAAUUUGAUUAAGGUGGGUGACAGUAGUUACAAGGACCCAAAAUUAUUUUUUAAAAUUUAACUCGAACAAAUAUAUUCGAUUCGAAUUCCAUCUCACUCGACUCGAUUCGAGAAAAUUUCAAAUAAAGUUAGGAUAAUAAAAUGAGAUUCGAAAACUCGAUUAACUCGAAACUUUUCGAUUCGAUUCAAUCGAAUGCUCACCCCUAAUCUUGGUCACUCAUUCGCUCUCCUCCUGUUGUAUUUUCUCUGAACUUUUCAGGCCUUACCGACUGUAUUGUUCUAUUCUUUAAUGGAUUGAUAUGUUAAAAUAAAUAAAUAAAUAAAUCUAUAUGUAUAGCAUUAAAAGGAGAGUCAGGCUUUGAUAAUUCGAUAGAGACAGAUAGUUCUCAGAUGUUAUCUUACCCUACCUAUUCUUGUUCGGUUAUGAUAAAGUAAAUGGGUAACAUACCAUUUGCUACUUUUGGUUGGAUACUUAAUUUAAAUAUUAAAACCAAAUUGAGGUACUUAGAUGAGAAAGAAAAAGUCAAGUAUCGAAAUUAAAUUCAAGUAUCAAAUAAUAUAUUAACCGUAAAAUAAAUAAAAACCACAAGCCAGUUUCAAUGAAAUCAAGUAGCAUAUGGCUAAGCAUAUAGGGGAGUUCCAGGGUGAGGUCCAUAAAAAGAACCAACAUAUAUAAAUUGAUGUAAAGUGAGUAAACCACUUUUUCCUGCUAUGCAAGCAUGCUGCAAUGGUGGGUCCUCCCCAUGCAUAGUUUGAUGAGUAGUACACAACAUUCCCAUCCAAGGGAAUAAAAUAA